UUAUGAAAAUAAUAUGUCUAUUUUUAGAAAGUAUUGCAGGAAACCGGGUCAGCCUUUACAACAAUUUUUUAAUCAGAUGACAGAGUUACGACUUCAUGGGCGAGGCGAUAAUCGCGAUAUUGAUAUGUCUGUUCGUGUAUCAAUACCACGUAGUAAUAGCGACACUACUGUUCAUUAUUCAAAAAUUACAUUUAAUAGUAUAUGCCUAGGUACUCAUGUGCGAGACAAUUGUUGCAUUUUGCGGGAUGGAUCGAUUUGUAUUGUCGUGGACAUAAUUGCUGACACAGGUUCUUACUCUUUGAUUGUAAAACGAUUUUUAGAAGUGGAUAAUUUUUUUAAUGUUGGCCUUUCAUCUUCCGCGUUUUACGUAUAUCUAUGUAGCAACAUCAGUAGCGAUACGCUUGUAAUUAAUAUUAACCAAGUGAAAUUUAAAAGUUACAGGAUGCCUCUGUGGGAAAAAGUAUCGUCAGACGACAGCAGUACCGAAGAUGAGGACAUGGAAUUAUUCAAAUAUAUCGUCGUCGCUUUAAUACACAUGGAAUAGACAACAUAUCAUCAAGUGAUGCCGAAGCCCACCACGUAAGGAGCGAUGGGCAGUGGGGUUUUAGUGGGUGCGAGUCCCACACUAUCUCCGGUUGCUUCUGUAUCUGCAGCCGGGGAUGUGCGUAGGCAUUUCCCCACUUAAAAAAAAAAAAAAAAAAAAAAA